CUGACAAAACGUCCUACUUUGGCAAAACGUCCUACCGCAAGUAGUUUAUGCACAUUUCUGUUGUCACAGAUUCAUUCCAGCACAAAUUUUUAGGAUCUUGAACACUGGAAUCUUGAGCUGAUGAUGGUUCUGGACUCAAUAUCGAAGGACCACAAAACUCAGUAGCUGUACUGAAGUUAACAACCAUCAGAUCGUCUUUAUUAUUAUUGCCAACACGAUGGAAAAGAAAUAUUACAUCCUGUUGUUGGAGCUAGAUGGAAACCUAGGGGUUCGUCAACGUUAUCUAGACAUUUCACCCAAAAAAUGUCCUCAUGGUGGUGCUAGAGGUGAGGCCACGGGAUCCACAACAUUACAAGUGGCACUAAUAUUCUUCCUGGCACUUUGCCAUUUAAGUGUGCUAAACAACCAGACAGGCAGCAUGCACAACUGACAUAUGAAAUCUAUUCAUUGUUUGUGUAUGCAGGUACGGACAAACAGAGUCAUUGUUUUUGUAAAAGCAGUGUUCUUUCAGUGUCAUUUCCCAUGAAAAGAAGGGGAAAUGUGUAAGCCUACUGCUUUAAUAUCACUGACCUCUAUCAUAUAAAAUUAUAUAAAAUCAUAUCCGUCAAUGCAA